GAUGAACGCUGGCGGCGUGCCUAAUACAUGCAAGUCGAGCGAACAGACGAGGAGCUUGCUCCUCUGACGUUAGCGGCGGACGGGUGAGUAACACGUGGAUAACCUACCUAUAAGACUGGGAUAACUUCGGGAAACCGGAGCUAAUACCGGAUCAUAUAUUGAACCGCAUGGUUCAAUAGUGAAAGACGGUUUUGCUGUCACUUAUAGAUGGAUCCGCGCCGCAUUAGCUAGUUGGUAAGGUAACGGCUUACCAAGGCAACGAUGCGUAGCCGACCUGAGAGGAUGAUCGGCCACACUGGAACUGAGACACGGUCCAGACUCCUACGGGAGGCAGCAGUAGGGAAUCUUCCGCAAUGGGCGAAAGCCUGACGGAGCAACGCCGCGUGAGUGAUGAAGGUCUUCGGAUCGUAAAACUCUGUUAUUAGGGAAGAACAAAUGUGUAAGUAACUAUGCACGUCUUGACGGUACCUAAUCAGAAAGCCACGGCUAACUACGUG
rnacentral:rRNA from 1 species